GCCUGCGCGCAGCAAUGAAGCCCCAACGCAGCCAAAAAUAAAUAAAUAAAUUUAUUUUUUUAAAAAAGAAAUGGCAGCCGGACCAGGACUCCAGGGAAGCUCUGGACAGAGGCCGGGCCUGGGUGGCCCAGAGGGAGGAGUGGCCCACAGGGCUUGGCCGGGGCGCGGGCAGGGCCAGAGCCAUCUCCUGGGGCAGCGCUGGGCCAGCUCUGUCUCGGGCCCGCCUGCAGAUCCAAGUUUGCAUUUUGACGGAACACAGGCCAUCUCCUCCACCACGCAGUCUUCAAGGUCCCGUCCUCUUCACGGGUGUCCUUUCCACGCGCUCUGUCCCUGUGUCUGGCUUGUAUUUACUCCUUGGACCCAUCCUGGUGAUGAGUGAGCUCAGCGAGGUGGUGGAGCUUCCAUCCUCUUUCUUUGCUUUUCCUGCGUGAGGCGGAGUUGGCGUUCAGCUUGGACCCGCGCGGCUCUGCGUGACUUUCUCCAGGUGAUCGUAGCUAGGCUUGUGGGAUAUCGGAGAAGGUUGGAGAAAGACAGAAAAUCCGUGUGGAGUCCCGAGGUGCGUUCUGGGCUGCGAUGCUGGCGGCGGUGCCACUUCUGUCCCUGAAGCCGCGGAAGGUGUUACAGAGCCUCUUCCUUCCCCCUUGUUCCUGCCUGCUCACGGCCGCGUCAGUAGUUUCUGAAGCAUCUUUCCACUUAUGACCCCUCGUCCCGAAGCCUGUGGAAGGGGUUUGACGGAAUUAAUCUUCCUUUGUGUUUUGAAGGUUUCCGCCCUUUCCUGUCUUGUUUCCUGUUCUGGGUCCACGUCUCUCUCCCCCCUUCUUGCCUUCGGCGUCUUCUAGGCGGUUUUCGGCAAUUCGUCUUUGCUUCCCAGUCUUAGCGAGCGUGACAGCGCACGGGGGGAUGUUCAGGGAGACUUCGGGGUGGAGGGGAAGAGGCUGGAGGAAGGAGGGAUGAGGCGUGGCCACCGCGGGUGGCAGAGGAGGGACGGCCUUCCGGGUUUGCCACGUCUGGUCGCAGAGUCACGUCGGGGUCCUGUGGGCCGUGGGCUCAGCCCCGGGUGAGGUGGGGGACUGGCACCUGCCAACGUUCCCUUUGUUCCUGCUGCCGACUCCAUCUCCAACCGUAAGAAACACAAAUUUUUAAUUAGAAAGAACUGCAUUAAGUAAUGAUCCUUGUGGGGGAAAAUAUCCGACUUUUGAUUUUCAUACAUUUUCCAGAAGCUUAAUUAUAAGGAGUGUUAGCUCUUCGGGAAAAAACUUAGUAAAAAUUUGAAAAUAUACCGAGUUUGCUCCCAAAGGCCCGGAUGGAAGGGGCACGGACCUCAGCUCACCCUGACGGCCCCUCCCGCCCCCGGGGGCCUGUCCGAGAUUUCCGCCUUCUCGGUGCUCCGGGGGCAACCCGGAGAGAGGAGCCUUCUAGACCAGCUUAUAAAAUGUGGAUCCGCGUUACUGAUCGAUGAGUUUAAGGAUUUUCUGACCGCCCGCGUCGAGCGUUGAGACCGCGUUUUCACGCCGGUGGUGGGUGGUGACUCACGCAGGCACAGGGGGGCGGCUCCAGGACGACAGCUGGCUGAGCUGUAUUCCGCAGGGACACCGCGCGGGUCCAUCUGGAGCGCGGCUCAAGCCGAAGUGGAGGGAGCCAGGUGUGGCUGUGCCUGGGAGCCAAGCCCCACGUUCACACGUGUCCGUGAGCUCCGGACUGGAGCGGGCAAGCUUCCUUCCCACCACACCUGGCUGCGGGGCACAGGAAAAGCUACACCUUGUCGCACAGCUGGGAGGUGGCGGCCCGUGCAGUUGCAGGACGUGGACCCGGCAGCGGGCACCUGGUCAUCCCUGACCGCAGGGGGUCUCUGUUAGACUCUCGGCAAUUAUGACACAGUGACUUCCCAGGCCAAACUUGAUGCCAGAAAUGUUCAAAAUAAAGGGUCUGGAAGAGCCAGAAUUUGAUUUAAAAAGACCCGUGAGAUCCGGUGGAGAGCACUGAGCAGGGACCUAAAUGCCCCUAGACUUCUCCUCCGGCUGCCCACGGGAUGCACAUGAAAGACACCUUGACAGAGGAAGGUGACCUAGUGGAGGAUCCAUGAGGAAAGGAGGGGAGACGCUGUGCAGACGUGUCAUCUCGCGCGGGCGUGUGUACCUGCAGGACUACUGGGCUUCUGUCGCCUGAGAUGGGGGAACCGACAGGCUGUGUCCUGUCACCCCUCCCCUCGUGGCACCGGAUGCACGUGACUGUCCCCGCAGGACAGAGAAAAGCCCCCCGACCCAGGGCACCUGCCUGCAGAGUGACAAGGCCACGCUGAAGGGCCCCCGGCAGGAUAAUCCCCCGCAGGGCGACAUCCCCUCUUCCUCCCCUGAGCCCGCUGCUGCCGGAGGAGAUACUGGGUUACGCAGGGGCUCGGUACGAUGUCCUGACACCUUGCUCUGAAGGCUUACUGGCCCCUGGCCGCUCCAGGUGGCUGGGAGGACGUGGGUCAGGCAGGGACAGGCAUUUACCGCAAGACAGCGAGGGUGAUGUGGACGGAAACAUGGGCGGAAAGGGGCUGCGCGACAGGGAGGACAUUGAUUUUGCCUGCUCCAGAGGCUGCAGCGUGGCCCCGGUGGGCGGGGACAGUGGCCCCAGCAAAGCCCAUUCUGGGAAAAUGUCCCGUCCUCUCCAGAGUCACCGGCGUGCCGGCGGGUCUCAGAGCAGUGCCCCGGCCAGCGCCCAGCCUUGCGGCUAGACCAGCAACGUGGCUGCGACCUCCUGUGCGUUUGUACUGGGUCCCACUGACUUGCCAUCCAAAAUCGGGUUUGAAAAUGUAUUUUUACAUAAUAUCAUCCAAUCACGGUCUUCUUAAAGGUAUGCGGCAUCAAAGAAUGCCAUUGACUGCGAUUUAUAGCAUGACAUUGAAAAAUGCAAAUGUAUUUGUACCUCUA